rnacentral:rRNA from 1 species
UACGUAGGGGGCAAGCGUUACCCGGAUUCACUGGGCGUAAAGGGGGCGUAGGCGGCCGUGUAAGUCCGGUGUGAAAUGCCACGGCUCAACCGGGGAACUGCGCUGGAAACUACACGGCUUGAGGACGGUAGAGGGAGACGGAACUGCUGGUGUAGGGGUGAAAUCCGUAGAUAUCAGCAGGAACGCCGGUGGGGAAGCCGGUCUCCUGGGCCGUUCCUGACGCUGAGGCCCGAAAGCUAGGGGAGCAAACCGG